rnacentral:lncRNA from 13 species
UGUUCGCGGAUGCAGCUGCAAAGGCAGGAGACGUCUGGAUGCGGCAACUAUCCUUGGAUAUAUUUCUUGGCUCUGGGCAGCAACAGCAUCGAUCGGGCAACGUAGGAUUACAGUUCCACGCUUGCGCAUCGUACUAGUGAGUGAUAAAUCUAAUUCUAUUCCAAUUUGAGGUAAUGAAUCUCUGAAAAUUGUAUCUGGCAUAUAAGAUGUAUG